CUCGCGAUCUCCAAAUCCUGCCGCCGCCGCCAGGCCGAUUCCCCAUCUCCACCAUUGCCCAACCCUGGCCGCCACCCGCAGGCCGUCCGCAUCCGGCCCUCUGCCCCUCCGUGUCGCCGCUCCGGUCCUUCGCUGCUCCGUCCCUCCACUUCCCGCACGACCAGACGGGUGUGCGGGCGGGCCUGCGGCCGUGCUGCAGCCAUUGCGUCGCCCCGCCGCGGCCUCAUCCCUGUGUGCCGCCCGGCCGGCCGGUCCCCAAGGUCUGCUCGGCACCUACUGCCCCGGCCGGACCCCAUCCCGCGGCCUCACGCGGCCGUGCUGCGCCCCUCGCCGCGGUUUGGUUCCUGACCUAUGUUAUUCAUUUGCUCGUCCUUUGUCUAAUUUUCCCCCAAAUUGAUUUGGUUCCUGACCUAUGUUCUGCGAUGUGCGCGUCCAAUAAUCACUGCCUCCCUCUUUCGGCGGUGAGGCAACAAAUGGAAUUUAAGUGACCCAGGAAUCCACAUUGGUAACCUACAAGUACCUAUCAUUUGCAGGAAAUUAGAGGGAAUGACUAUAACAAAGUCUGAUUGGUAAGCCACAACUACAAGUAUCUAUCAUCUGCCCAGCAUGACUAUAUCUAGAAACCUUAUUUAUACCUAUCUGUCCUUGGCAUGUGCAUGCAUCUUCCAUUCAACAUUGAGCAUGUAUAUAUGCAGUAAUAGCAUAGUGUUUUUACCUUGAACUGAGCAGGAGCAGCCCUGUUUUUUUACCAGUUUUGAUCUCAUACCUUUUAAAAGAUGUCCAGGCAGAUUUAAUGCAUGAUUGACUUUGCAGAUGCUCCAAGACAGGAGACAAGUUGCCGUGCCCAAGUAGGAAUGGCUAGCUGCUGCACACUGAGUGCCACGCAUGGCCAUACAUGGAUGCAAGAUCAUUUUCACACCAAGAAAAUCAAUGUGCUCAUGGAUGGUAUUGACUAUUCCUAGCAUAGACAAAUCGUUUUGCAAGCCAAACAUGUGAUCUGUGCACUGAUGUUUUGUACAUAGUAGUUGUGCAAGCUAAACUUGUGAUAUCUGCAAGCCAAAGCAUGUGGCCUGUGGAAACUAAAUGGCAUGUCUAGAUACUUGUCUGAUCUAGCUUGCUGCUUUUGAAUUUUGUCAAAAGUUGUACUAGUUCCCCCUUAAAAUCAAGCUUGAAAUCCAUUCCCUUCAUGGCUUUACCAUA